CCCCUCACGGUGUCUCUCGCACAGUAAUACAUGGCCGUGUCCUCAGUUUUCAGGUUGUUCAUUUGCAGAUAGAGCUUGUUCUUGCCAUUGUCUCUGGAGAUGGUGAAGCGGCCCUUCACAGAGUGGGCGUAGUAGGUGCUACCACCACUACUAAUGUGUGAGACCCACUCCAGCCCCUUCCCUGGAGCCUGGCGGACCCAGUUCAUAU